rnacentral:rRNA from 1 species
GAUUUCUGACUUGAUGCACCUGUCCCGCUACGGUAACGUCAGUGAGUGACGGAGUGUGUCGGUCAUCCUUCUAGAGAAGGUUGGCUGCCCUUUAUUGGGUGGUCAACACCAUCUAGAUCGUUUACUUUGAAAAAAUUAGAGUGUUUCAAGCAGGCUUUAUGCUAUGAAUACAUUAGCAUGGAAUAAUGAGUUAGGACUUCGGUUCUAUUUUGUUGGUUUCUAGGGCUGAAGUAAUGAUUGAUAGGGAUAGUUGGGGGUGCUAGUAUUCAGUGGCCAGAGGUGAAAUUCUUGGAUUCACUGAAGACUAACUUAUGCGAAAGCAUU